AUGAGUGGCCAGACCGCAGAAUUAUUUAUCUGUGGCGUGCUGAAUUUCUGCUUUGAUAUGUUUUUGCUACUCUCGCUCUCUGUCUGGGUGGUGACGCCGUGCACAAAUCAGAAGUUUUUAGAGCAGUGUCUGUAUGUUUAUGUGGAGCUGCUGUGUUUCUGGGUGCCUAGCUCUGUAGCUUGCAUGCAAGUGUUUUUACGGGUUAAUUUAGCUGGCUUCUCAAUUCUCAGUGUCACUAGUUUAAUGUGCAUGGCUCUGUUCUUCGUAUUUCGUCAGUGUUAUGGAAGAUCGAAAGAGAUCCAAAAUUGGGGAAUAAUAAAUCUCGGCAUGUGCGAUUCUUUUAAGGAAGGGAACGGUGUAAUUAUGGAACUUUGA
rnacentral:rRNA from 1 species